UACGGGGGGGGCAAGCGUUGUUCGGAAUUACUGGGCGUAAAGGGCGCGUAGGCGGCCUGCUAAGUCGGACGUGAAAUCCCUCGGCUCAACCGAGGAACUGCGUCCGAUACUGGUGGGCUUGAAUCCGGGAGAGGGAUGUGGAAUUCCAGGUGUAGCGGUGAAAUGCGUAGAUAUCUGGAGGAACACCGGUGGCGAAGGCGGCAGCCUGGACCGGUAUUGACGCUGAGGCGCGAAAGCUAGGGGAGCAAACGGG
rnacentral:rRNA from 1 species